AUUGAACGCUGGCGGCAGGCCUAACACAUGCAAGUCGAACGAGUGGCGGACGGGUGAGUAAUGUCUGGGAAACUGCCCGCUGGAGGGGGAUAACUACUGGAAACGGUAGCUAAUACCGCAUACCAUCGGAUGUGCCCAGAUGGGAUUAGCGAGUAGGUGGGGUAAAGGCUCACCUAGGCGACGAUCCCUAGCUGGUCUGAGAUGAUGACCAGCCACACUGGAACUGAGACACGGUACAGACUCCUACGGGAUGCAGCAGUGGGGAAUAGUGCACAAUGGGCGCAAGCCUGAUGCAGCCAUGCCGUGUGUGUGAAGAAGGCCUUCGGGUUGUAAAGCACUUUCAGCUAGGAGGCGUUACUCGCAGAAGAAGCACCGGCUAACUCCGUGCCAGCAGCCGCGUAAUAC
rnacentral:rRNA from 1 species